rnacentral:rRNA from 1 species
GACGAACGCUGGCGGCGUGCUUAACACAUGCAAGUCGUACGGUAAGGCCCUUUCGGGGGUACACGAGUGGCGAACGGGUGAGUAACACGUGAGUAACCUGCCCACAACUUUGGGAUAACGCUAGGAAACUGGUGCUAAUACUUGAUAUGUGCCCCUGCUGCAUGGUGGGGGUUGGAAAGCUCCGGCGGUUGGGGAUGGACUCGCGGCCUAUCAGCUUGUUGGUGGGGUAGUGGCCUACCAAGGCGGCGACGGGUAGCCGGCCGGAGAGGGUGAGCGGCCACAGUGGGACUGAGAUACGGCCCAGACUCCUACGGGAGGCAGCAGUGGGGAAUAUUGCACAAUGGGCGCAAGCCUGAUGCAGCAACGCCGCGUGCGGGAUGACGGCCUUCGGGUUGUAAACCGCUUUCAGCAGGGACGAAGCUUUUUGUGACGGUACCUGCAGAAGAAGCACCGGCUAACUACGUG